rnacentral:sRNA from 1 species
GCCAGGUGUGUAGCACUUGCCUGUAAUCUCAGUUACUUGGGAGGCUGAGGCAGGAGGAUCACAAGUUUCAGGCCAGUUACAGAAAUUUAGUGAGACCUUGUCUCAA